rnacentral:rRNA from 1 species
CCCUGUGGAACCCUAAACGGCCGCGGUACAAAACCGUGCARNAGGUAGCACAAUCACUUGUCCCUUAAAUGAGGACCCGUAUGAAAGGCAACAUGAGAGAAAAUCUGUCUCUUAAGGCCAGCCAAUGAAAUUGAUCUAUCAGUACAAAAGCUGAUAUAACAAAGCAAGACAAAAAGACCCUAUGGAACUUUAACAACUUGUUUACACGAAAUAAACAAUAGUUUCAGUUGGGACAACUUUAGAAAAAAUAAACCUCUAAUACACCUAAGACUAACAAGUCUCAACCACGACACUAUAUGACCCAGUAAUACUGAGUAACGAAACAAGCUACCCUAGGGAUAACAGCGCUACCUUCUCAAAGAGUCCAUAUCAACAAGAAGAUCUACGACCUCGAUGUUGGAUCAGGGUACCCAGACGGUGCAGCAGCUGUCAAUGGUUCGUUUGUUCAACGACUAACACCCU